AUUGAACGCUGGCGGCAUGCCUUACACAUGCAAGUCGAACGGCAGCGCGGGGGCAACCCUGGCGGCGAGUGGCGAACGGGUGAGUAAUAUAUCGGAACGUACCCAAGAGUGGGGGAUAACGUAGCGAAAGUUACGCUAAUACCGCAUACGAUCUAAGGAUGAAAGCAGGGGACCGCAAGGCCUUGUGCUCCUGGAGCGGCCGAUAUCUGAUUAGCUAGUUGGUGGGGUAAAGGCCUACCAAGGCAUCGAUCAGUAGCUGGUCUGAGAGGACGACCAGCCACACUGGGACUGAGACACGGCCCAGACUCCUACGGGAGGCAGCAGUGGGGAAUUUUGGACAAUGGGGGCAACCCUGAUCCAGCAAUGCCGCGUGAGUGAAGAAGGCCUCGG
rnacentral:rRNA from 1 species